AUGAAAGUCAAUUCGACAACUCUUAAUGUGGCUUCACCAGAGGCAGCUCGACAGCAGGAGAAAUGGUGGAGAAUCCAACAAUGCAGACCAUGGAUAUUGAUGAAGGAAAAUAUGUCAACAAGCCCAGAAAAAUGGAUGGCGUUGGUGUUACAUUUUCAGCUAAUUUUCAGUGGUGGAAGAGACCCUCUGGAGUUGCUGCAGUGUCUCUGGGGCUGCUGUGUGUUCUCCUACUGGCUGAGAUCAUAGGCCUGUCUGUCUACUAUAACCGAGUCAUUGGUCAUUACUACUCUGCAGAGAGAUCCCAGGCGUCCAGUUAUAACACCCUGACUAAAGAGAGAGACCAGUUACAGACCAGUUAUAACACCCUGACUAAAGAG